rnacentral:rRNA from 1 species
UCCAGACUCCUACGGGAGGCAGCAGUGGGGAAUAUUGGGCAAUGGGCGCAAGCCUGACCCAGCAACGCCGCGUGAAGGAAGAAGGCUUUCGGGUUGUAAACUUCUUUUAUUCGGGACGAAGCAAGUGACGGUACCGAAUGAAUAAGCCACGGCUAACUACGUGCCAGCAGCCGCGGUAAUACGUAGGUGGCGAGCGUUAUCCGGAUUUACUGGGUGUAAAGGGCGUGUAGGCGGGAGUGCAAGUCAGAUGUGAAAACUAUGGGCUCAACCCAUAGCCUGCAUUUGAAACUGUACUUCUUGAGUGCUGGAGAGGCAAUCGGAAUUCCGUGUGUAGCGGUGAAAUGCGUAGAUAUACGGAGGAACACCAGUGGCGAAGGCGGCUUACUGGACUGUAACUGACGUUGAGGCUCGAAAGCGUGGGGAGCAAACAGGAUUAGAUACCCCGGUAAAG